UUUAUUAAAAACCUAAAACACGCUUCUCUCUUUUCUCCUCCUCCUUCUCCAUCGUCGACCUCCUUCUCCGACGUUUCUCACUCGCCGUCGUGUUUCUCUUCUCUCCUUUGUCGUCAUCUCUAGUCUUCUUCGUCGUCUUUCCUUUGCAAUCAUCUCUUCUCUUCUCUCCUUUGCAGUCGUCUCUUCUCUUCUCUCCUUUGCCGUAGAUCUUUGUCUCAGUUCUCUCUACACUUAAUCAUCUCAUUCCCAUCGUAUAAGAUUGCUAUUGAAUUUUAAUUUCGACUUCAAAUUCAGCUCCAACUGCAAUUUUUCCUUAUCUCUAUUUAUUUUCAAUUUCAUAUUUGUUCUUUGAUGUCAGAAUUUUUAGGUCUAUCAAUAUUGUGAUCUGUUUGUGAUAUGUUUGUGUUCUGUUUGUGAUUUGUUUGUGAUCUGUUUGUGUAUAUUAAGUACCUUUAUAAUGUUGAAUUUGGUUCAAAUGCAAAGAUACGUUCAGAUAUUAUGUUGAAUUUGGUUUGGGCAAGUUAUAGUUUUCCAAUUUCUUGUACUAGAUUACCUUUGAUGAUGUUGGAACCUAUUGGUGUGCUUUGUUUCGUGCUAUGAUGCUUGAAGCUUGGGUUUUGUUAAUAUUUUAGUUCUAAGAAGCUAGAUUGUUUCUUUAAUUGUAAACCCAACGUAGGUGGACAUGUAAAUAGAUUGUUUUUUCUAUCGUACCCUGUUGUACCCUAUUGUGGCUUGAAAUGAUCAGAGAAGAGACCAUGUUACUAACAAAAAUCUUCUAAUCAAGAUUGAACAUUGUUCAUAAAACUCGGAAUGUAAAGAUCUAUGCAAAUGACGUAUUCUUUGUGUGUGUGUGUGUUUCAGGUGCUCUCAUUUGAUGAACAGAUGCAGGCAUUGAGCUGAAGUGCUAAGAAUUGGAACCUCUAGUGGAGAAAGUGACCGAAGUUGACUGGUUGCAAAAGCCUCUUCUUAGGAGACUUUGUUUGUUUGUUUUGUGUUGAUGUUGAUAGGGUGGGAUUGACUGGUUGCAAAAGCAUGUUCUUAGGAGUCUUUGUUUGAUUGUUUUGUGUUGAUGUUAGUGGCUGUGAUCUUGCCGAUGCUACAAUUUUGUUGGAACAAUGUUCUUGAGUAGAUGACGUUUAAGAUAACUAAAUGCACUUCACCUGAAUGGGAA
rnacentral:lncRNA from 1 species